GGCGAGCGAAACGGAAAGAGCCCAAACCAAGAAGCUUGCUUCUUGGGGUUGUAGGACACUCUAUACGGAGUUACAAAAGAAAGUUAUAAAUGAAGCGGUCUGGAAAGGCCCGCCAAAGACGGUAACAGCCCGGUAGUUGAAAUGGCUUUCCCUCCAGAGUGGAUCCUGAGUACGGCGGAACACGUGAAAUUCCGUCGGAAUCCGGGAGGACCAUCUCCCAAGGCUAAAUACUCCCUAGUGACCGAUAGUGAACCAGUACCGUGAGGGAAAGGUGAAAAGCACCCCGGAAGGGGAGUGAAACAGUUCCUGAAACCGUGUGCCUACAAGUAGUUAGAGCCCGUUAAUGGGUGAUAGCGUGCCUUUUGUAGAAUGAACCGGCGAGUUACGAUUUGUUGCAAGGUUAAGCGGAAAAAGCGGAGCCGUAGCGAAAGCGAGUCUGAAUAGGGCGCAUAAGUAACAGGUCGUAGACCCGAAACCAGGUGAUCUACCCAUGUCCAGGAUGAAGGUAAGGUAAUACUUACUGGAGGUCCGAACCCACGCACGUUGAAAAGUGCGGGGAUGAGGUGUGGGUAGCGGAGAAAUUCCAAUCGAACUUGGAGAUAGCUGGUUCUCUCCGAAAUAGCUUUAGGGCUAGCCUCGAGGUAAAGAGUCAUGGAGGUAGAGCACUGUUUGGACUAGGGGCCCUUCUCGGGUUACCGAAUUCAGAUAAACUCCGAAUGCCAUGUACUUAUACUCGGGAGUCAGACUGCGAGUGAUAAGAUCCGUAGUCGAAAGGGAAACAGCCCAGACCACCAGUUAAGGUCCCCAAAUAUAUGUUAAGUGGAAAAGGAUGUGGGGUUGCUUAGACAACCAGGAUGUUGGCUUAGAAGCAGCCACCAUUGAAAGAGUGCGUAAUAGCUCACUGGUCGAGUGACCCCGCGCCGAAAAUGUACCGGGGCUAAACAUAUUACCGAAACUGUGGAUGAACCUCUUUAGAGGUUCGUGGUAGGAGAGCGUUCUAAGGGCGGUGAAGUCAGACCGGAAGGACUGGUGGAGCGCUUAGAAGUGAGAAUGCCGGUAUGAGUAGCGAAAGAAGGGUGAGAAUCCCUUCCACCGAAUAUCUAAGGUUUCCUGAGGAAGGCUCGUCCGCUC
rnacentral:rRNA from 1 species